GUGCCCGUAGCUCAAUUGGAUAGAGUAUUAGACUCCGGAUCUAAAGGUUGUGGGUUCAAAUCCCACCGGGCACGCCA
rnacentral:tRNA from 3 species